rnacentral:rRNA from 1 species
CGGCGGACGGGUGAGUAACGCGUGGGUAACGUGCUUCAUACAGGGGGAUAACAGUUGGAAACGGACUGCUAAUACCGCAUAAGCGCACAGUACCGCAUGGUACGGUGUGAAAAACUCCGGUGGUAUGAGAUGGACCCGCGUCUGAUUAGGUAGUUGGUGGGGUAACGGCCUACCAAGCCGACGAUCAGUAGCCGACCUGAGAGGGUGACCGGCCACAUUGGGACUGAGACACGGCCCAA